rnacentral:rRNA from 1 species
UACAGAGGUCUCGAGCGUUAGGCGGAAUCACUGGGCUUAAAGCGUGUGUAGGCGGAUCGGUAAGUACCUUGUGAAAUCCCACAGCUUAACUGUGGAACUGCUUGGUAUACUGCCGGUCUUGAGCCAGCUAGGGGCUACCGGAACAAAUGGUGGAGCGGUGAAAUGCGUAGAUAUCAUUUGGAACGCCAAUGGUGAAAACAGGUAGCUGGGGCUGUGCUGACGCUGAGACACGAAAGCCAGGGGAGCAAACGGU